UCUGAGCCGAGUGCGGUGCCAGCGCAGCGAGCUCUGUAGGCGGCGGCGGCCUGAGCUUCGAGGCAGCCCGCUUCCCUCCUCCCAGUUGCUUCGCUUCCCUUCCCCGCGGUCAGUAUGGAAGCCUUCAGUCCAGUGAGGUCCGUUAGGAAAAGCAGCCUUUCAGACCACGGCCUGGGCGUCUCCCGGAGCCAAACCCCGGCGGACGACCCGAUGAGCCUGCUGGACAACAUGAACGACUGCUACUCCAAGCUCAAGGAGCUGGUGCCCAGUAUCCCGCAAAACAAGAAGGUGAGCAAGAUGGAAAUCCUGCAGCACGUCAUCGACUACAUCUUGGACUUGCAGAUCGUGCUGGACUCGCACCCCAUCGUCAGCCUGCACCACCAGCGACCCAGACAGAGCCAGGCGUCCAGGACGCCGCUCACCACCCUCAACACCGACAUCAGCAUCCUGUCCUUGCAGGCUUCUGAAUUCCCUUCUGAGUUAAUGUCAAAUGACAGCAAAGCGCUCUGUGGCUGAAUAAAUGGUGUUCAUGACUUUUUUUUCCCCUUUGCACAACAACAACAACAAAUCCACAGGCUCUUUUAAGGCGCUGAACUUAUUUUUCAACCAUUCACAAGGAGGACAACAAGUCAAAUGGACCUUUAAAAAAAAUGGAAGGAAAACUUAAGAAUGAUCAACUUCCCCAGGGUGUUUUCUGACCUGGACUGUGAUAUUAGUUAUUUAUGAAAAAGACUUUUAAAUGCCCUUUCUGCAGUUGGAAGGUUUUCUUUAUAUACUAUUCCCACCAUGGGGAGCGAAAACAUUAAAAUCACAAGGAAUUGCCCAAUUUAAGCAGACUUUGCCUUUUUUCAAAGGUGGAGCGUGAAUACCAGAAGGAUCCAGUAUUCAGUUACUUAAAUGAAGUCUUUUGGUCAGAAAUUACCUUUUUGACUCAAGCCUACUGAAUACUGUGUACAUAUUUAUAUAUAAAUAUAUAUAUAUUGAGUGAAACCUUGUGAACUCUUAGAGUUUUCUUGUAUAGUGGCAGAAAUGUACAUUUCUGCAUAUAAAGUGUAAUGA